AUGUCGCACAAUAACCGAAGGAAAUGUAGAUCAAAGUUCACCGGAUGCCCGAAAGGAGUGACCUUAUCGUAUCGCAAGCUGUAUUUUUACCCGGCAACAUGGUACAAAGAUAAACUUCAGGAGCGCGGGAACUUUAAGGUUGCCUUAGGGGCUGAUGGGGCCCCUUUAGGAAUAGGAUCUGAUGCAACUGCCUGGCUAGUUAGCUUUCUAAAUGUAGGUUCCAAAGUCGCUUGUCCCUAUGAUAAUUUUCUAUUGUGUGGGACUAAUUGCAAGGAAGAUCACAUAGCAAUGGUUAACUAUGCUUAAGACAUUCUAUUUAAAUGAAAACCAUUAAAGAGAAAAAUAUGUAAUUGGAGGUCAAACUGUAACCUUUCAAUUUGAAUUUGCACCUUCUGACAUGAAAUGGCUUGCGUUUUUCUCUGGCGAGCUUAGGAAUGCAACACCCUUUUCUACUUUUGCAAAUGUUAACAAAGAUGGUAUGUAAACAAUAAAAAAAUGAGCCCACCAACGCCUGACAGCCAUGGGUGUAUCAUUACGGAAUAAAAGUUGCUAAGAAAGUCAAUGAAUUUGAGAGAUCAUUUGCAAACUCACACAUUUCAGAAAAGACCAAACAAUCCAUAAUCUUAAGUUUCAUCAGAAGUAUGAAGUCCAGGCAAGAGCGCAUUCCAAUGCUAGGCCCAGUCAUUGACAAAGUCUUAGCAGAGCCUCUUCACAACUCCAACAAUGACUGGCAGUUUUUUUAA